GAAUAAAAAUCCUAAUCCUCUUUAACAUAACAUCACAACCGAUUAACAAAGAAUAUGUGGCAUGGUAAAUUACCCUAUUGGCAUGCAAAUGGGAGAUUGAAAGAAACACCCUUUUUGCCUCCCGGGGCACAUUCGAGUUGGUGGAACAAUUGCAUUGGUGGGCUCACAAACCAAGCGUGGAGGGUUCGGUUCCUGGAAGGCAGCAUCUUGGAAGGGGGAUUUAUCUCGAAAGCAAGAUGCUGGAAGGCAGCGGAGAGGGUCCUCUUUGGAGAAGGAGUAAAAACCAUGCAGGAACUUGAGAGCCAAUAAGGGCACAAUCCGCGAUUAACUUCCUCAAGCUAAUGAGGGACUGAAGGCUUAAGAUCCAGGAUUUAAUCUGACGAAAUUGGGACACCUAGGUAUCAAAAAAAAAAACAAAGAAACACCCUUUUUAAAAAAUUGCUUAUUGGUGCAAAACUCCCCACCUAUAAGAUAUUGUGCGUAAAAAUCCCCCACCGAUUGGAACUUGAGGAAAAGGUCCCCAUAUGAAACUUGAAGUUUGUUCUAUCCCACUGUCCAUUU
rnacentral:lncRNA from 1 species